GGAAAGUUCGGAUAAUGGUAUUCCACCACCUUGGAAAGGUGGCGCUCUAACGGGCAUAAGGGUUCGAGUCCCUUACUUUCCA
rnacentral:tRNA from 1 species